rnacentral:rRNA from 1 species
GUGGGGAAUUUUGGACAAUGGGCGAAAGCCUGAUCCAGCCAUGCCGCGUGCAGGAUGAAGGCCUUCGGGUUGUAAACUGCUUUUGUACGGAACGAAAAGACUCCUUCUAAUAAAGGGGGUCCAUGACGGUACCGUAAGAAUAAGCACCGGCUAACUACGUGCCAGCAGCCGCGGUAAUACGUAGGGUGCGAGCGUUAAUCGGAAUUACUGGGCGUAAAGCGUGCGCAGGCGGUUUUGUAAGAUCGAUGUGAAAUCCCCGGGCUCAACCUGGGAACUGCAUUGGUGACUGGAAGGCUGGAGUGCGGCAGAGGGGGAUGGAAUUCCGCGUGUAGCAGUGAAAUGCGUAGAUAUGCGGAGGAACACCGAUGGCGAAGGCAAUCCCCUGGGCCUGCACUGACGCUCAUGCACGAAAGCGUGGGGAGCAAACAGGAUUAGAAACCCUGGUAGUCC